rnacentral:rRNA from 1 species
GACAGAGGGUGCAAACGUUGUUCGGAAUUACUGGGCGUAAAGCGCACGUAGGCGGAUCAGCAAGUUAGGGGUGAAAUCCCGGGGCUCAACCCCGGAACUGCCUUUAAGACUGUUGGUCUGGAGUCCGAGAGAGGUGAGUGGAAUUCCGAGUGUAGAGGUGAAAUUCGUAGAUAUUCGGAGGAACACCAGUGGCGAAGGCGGCUCACUGGCUCGGUACUGACGCUGAGGUGCGAAAGCGUGGGGAGCAAACAGG